rnacentral:rRNA from 1 species
UACAGAGGGUGCAAGCGUUAAUCGGAAUUACUGGGCGUAAAGCGUGCGUAGUCGGUUAUCUAAGUCGGAUGUGAAAUCCCCGGGCUCAACCUGGGAAUUGCAUUCGAUACUGGAUAGCUAGAGUUCGGCAGAGGGAAGUGGAAUUUCGGGUGUAGCGGUGAAAUGCGUAGAUAUCGGAAGGAACAUCAGUGGCGAAAGCGACUUCCUGGACCAAUACUGACGCUCAUGUGCGAAAGCGUGGGGAGCAAACAGG